GGAUUAGAUACCCUGGUAGUCCACGCCGUAAACGAUGCACACUUGGUGUUGGAAGAGUUAACCCUUUCAGUACCGGAGCUUACGCGUUAAGUGUGCCGCCUGGGGAGUACGGUCGCAAGACUAAAACUCAAAGGAAUUGACGGGGGCCCGCACAAGCGGUGGAGUAUGUGGUUUAAUUCGAAGCAACGCGAAGAACCUUACCUGGGUUUGACAUCCUGUUACGGCCGUAGAAAUACGGCUCACCCGCAAGGGAGACAGAGACAGGUGCUGCAUGGCUGUCGUCAGCUCGUGCCG
rnacentral:rRNA from 1 species